GCGCCACAAAUCGAUCCGCGGGGCCGGAGACGUGUCUCUACAGGUUCCAGCGACCGCGUCGCCGCCGCCUGGACUCACCGCCGCCGAAUACUCCCCGCCCCCUGCUCUCCUCCCCACAGCAAGCAAGCCCGAGCGAGGUAAACGGUAAACCUCGUCCCCAUCUCACCUCUCCAGGCCCCAGCGACCGCACCGCCGCUCAGACUGUAGUAGUUUUUCUUCUUCUUUCUACUCCAGUAACCCGUCAAGCCGCAAACUGCAGUAGGCAAGCCGAGCCGACUCCGAGUUUCCGGGCUCUCCACUCUCGAAUGUUCGGCGGCGGCGGACGCAGCAGGCGGCGCGGGCGCGCGCCGGCAGCCACCCUGCCUUCGAGCACCGCCUCGAAUCGCACCGAGCACUCCGUUUCGUGCUGGUACUGUGACUGCAAGAUAUAUGCCUUCAAUGACAUGGUAUUCAAUUUGGGAUGGAAACAUGCUAGAUACAUCAAAGCAUGGUUUUCUGUAGGAGUUUAUUUCUCUCUCAUUGCUCUAGUUGGUAUAUCUCUGUUCCUAUUAUGGGAUCCAAUUGGUGCAUUAUAUUCUAGUGGCGGAUCUGUUGGUACCUGGUUACAAAAUCUACUGGCUUCCAGCUUCAGCGUAUCGAUAAUGGACACCGCAAUAAUCAUAGGAUCAACAAUCUUAUCUGUCGCUUUUCAUGAAUUUGGACAUGCUAUUGCAGCUGCAAGCGAGGGUUUACAGAUGGAAUAUGUUGCAAUAUUCAUAGCUAUACUUUUUCCUGGGGCAUUAGUUGCUCUGAACUAUGACCUGGUGCAGAAUCUACCUCCUUUUUCAAUGCUUCGGAUUUAUUGCGCGGGAAUUUGGCAUAAUGUUAUGUUUUGUGCAGCAUGUAUGCUCAUGACAUCAUUACUUCCUGUGGUUCUCUAUCCUCUCUAUGUGAGUGGUGAUGGCCUUAUUGUCAUGGGAGUCCCACAAACAUCUCCUCUGUCAGGGUAUUUGUCUGUUCAUGAUGUUAUCCUUGCUGUGGAUGGUCUCAACAUGAGAAAAACUGACGAAUGGAUGAAAAUGCUGGCUCAAGAUACCGUAGAAAAAAACAGCAGUCAUGCGUUCAUAGAAGGUUUUCAGAGCUAUGGUGCCGCUAGUUCUGGCAAGGGUUAUUGUGUCCCCAACUCAUGGAUGGAUGCAAGCAAGAAUCUCUGGCAGAUAAAUGACAAGGUAUCUUGCCCAGAUGAGCUGAUAGCCUUUGGAAAAUUCACCUGUAAUGGUUCCACGACUUUUUCUGGGACUGGCAGAGCUGAAAAGAAAGAAGCUGAGGACAAAUAUUGCUUGAUUGCAAAAGAUGUAGUUAAACUUAAAAAAUGUGGACAUGGAUGGCGGGGUACAGAUGAAGAAAUUAGCUGUACCUGUUUGGAGGAUGAAUACUGCUUGGUGCCUAUUCUGACAUCUGGAUCUUCAUGGAUAGAGAUCUCCUAUGCAAGGCCAUAUUCUUUUGAGUGUUUACAGAGAGAACGAAAUUUAUCAUCAUGGCAUGCUACCAAUAAGAACUUUGGUCUGGGUCCUUGUGAGGGAACUUUUGUUUAUGUGGGUGAUCCGUUAUCAGCAGGGCGUUCUGUUAAGUUAUCCCCCUACAGGCCCCGAUGGCAACUCUUCCUUUUUAUUGCGGAUGUUCCUUAUAUCUUGGAAAAUUGUUUAAAUUGCUUGCUUCAUGUGUCUGCGGCAUUGGCUGCAGUUAACUGCUUACCAGUAUAUUUCCUGGAUGGGGACGCAAUUUUGGAGACUACCUUAUUCUACGUUGGUUGGUUUCCCCGAAGACAGCAGCAAAUGAUUAUUAAGGUUUGCCGCUUUCUGUGGACCGCCCUAUCCAUCAUCAUGUUCUCAAGGAUCCUAUAUUCCAUGACGGUAUAUAAUGGUUAGCUCUGAAAUAUGGAGUUUUGCUCCGAAGUCCGGUCAGCUGUAUGAGAUAUCACACAAUUGGUCUGCAGGACGCCUCAUGAACAAUGGCAGUGUAAGAUAGUUACAAAAUGGCAUGCCCCCUUCUCGUUUUGACAGCUAAACUGACCAGCCAGAUCCACACAUCAGAGCUGAUGUGGCGAUGAGGUGACACACAAGCAACACUAGCGUGGCUUAAUCCUCGCCCUCACACUUGGUUUUCGUCGUCCUUCCAGUGAAGCCCGCAAGCUGCUGCAGGGAUGGUUUGGGUGGUAUCAAGCUCAUCGGGAAGUGAGCUGGAUGGCAUUGUGCCACGCAAGCAACGCCAACGUGGCUCAAUCCUCGCCAUCACACUUGGGGCACUAGUUAGAUUUGCUGUCAAAAUCCACUCAAAUGGUCAUCAGUGCUAUUUGCAUGCCCUGCCCCAAACUUAGCGUUUUCCGGGAAAUUUCUUAAAAGUGGUGGUUUUAUUAGAAUGUUGCCUACAUUUGGUGGUUUUCUGUAGUUUAUAAUAUAGCGAGGUCUCAAACAUCAAUUGUUCUUUUUA